rnacentral:rRNA from 1 species
UGAGCAACCUGCCCUGGACUCUGGGAUAAGCCUGGGGAAACUGGGUCUAAUACCGGAUAGUACUCCUCAUCGCAUGGUGGGGGGUGGAAAGCCUUGUGCGGUCUUGGAUGGGCUCGCGGCCUAUCAGCUUGUUGGUGGGGUGAUGGCCUACCAAGGCGACGACGGGUAGCCGGCCUGAGAGGGUGAUCGGCCACACUGGGACUGAGACACGGCCCAGACUCCUACGGGAGGCAGCAGUGGGGAAUAUUGCACAAUGGGCGGAAGCCUGAUGCAGCGACGCCGCGUGGGGGAUGACGGCCUUCGGGUUGUAAACCCCUUUCAGUAGGGAAGAAGCGCAAGUGACGGUACCUGCAGAAGAAGCGCCGGCUAACUACGUGCCAGCAGCCGCGGUAAUACGUAGGGCGCGAGCGUUAUCCGGAAUUAUUGGGCGUAAAGAGCUCGUAGGCGGCUUGUCGCGUCUGCUGUGAAAGCCCGGGGCUCAACCCCGGGUCUGCAGUGGGUACGGGCAGGCUGGAGUGCAGUAGGGGAGACUGGAAUUCCUGGUGUAGCGGUGAAAUGCGCAGAUAUCAGGAGGAACACCGAUGGCGAAGGCAGGUCUCUGGGCUGUAACUGACGCUGAGGAGCGAAAGCAUGGGGAGCGAACAGGAUUAGAUACCCUGGUAGUCCAUGCCGUAAACGUUGGGCACUAGGUGUGGGGGCCAUUCCACGGUUUCCGCGCCGCAGCUAACGCAUUAAGUGCCCCGCCUGGGGAGUACGGCCGCAAGGCUAAAACUCAAAGGAAUUGACGGGGGCCCGCACAAGCGGCGGAGCAUGCGGAUUAAUUCGAUGCAACGCGAAGAACCUUACCAAGGCUUGACAUGUGCCGGACCGUCCCAGAGAUGGGGCUUCCCUUCGGGGCCGGUUCACAGGUGGUGCAUGGUUGUCGUCAGCUCGUGUCGUGAGAUGUUGGGUUAAGUCCCGCAACGAGCGCAACCCUCGUUCCAUGUUGCCAGCACUUCGGGUGGGGACUCAUGGGAGACUGCCGGGGUCAACUCGGAGGAAGGUGGGGACGACGUCAAAUCAUCAUGCCCCUUAUGUCUUGGGCUUCACGCAUGCUACAAUGGCCGGUACAAAGGGUUGCGAUACUGUGAGGUGGAGCCAAUCCCAGAAAGCCGGUCUCAGUUCGGAUUGGGGUCUGCAACUCGACCCCAUGAAGUCGGAGUCGCUAGUAAUCGCAGAUCAGCAACGCUGCGGUGAAUACGUUCCCGGGCCUUGUACACACCGCCCGUCAAGUCACGAAAGUCGGUAACACCCGAAGCCGG